GAGAUCAGCUUUCUCUUUUCUCCAGAAGUAAUUGUGUCUGUGUAGUGAUAACUAUAUAUCACAGUGCUUUGAGCCAUUUCUGAAAUACCCAAGUAGAAUCAUCUUUAAAAAUAAGAGCUUAUUUUCUAAUUUAUCGCAACAAGAAGUUCAGAAAUAGGACAGUUCUAGGGUUGGUUAAUUCAAGGAACACAAGGUUCCUUACAUCUAUUUACUCUUUGUGUUAAUACCUUUCUCCAUGGUGACAAGGUGGCCAUAGCAACUCCAAGAAUCACCUUCUCACACAGCUCUGUGCAGAGGCAGUAAAAGGCCAAGUUCCUGACUUGUGUCCCUUUAUAUGAAUAUAAAUGUUCUGGAAGGGCCAAGGCCAACUUCCCCUUACAAUGCCAAGAUUUUGUGAGAUGUGCAUUAUUUAACUGAUUGUGGGCGGACCAAUGAAAUAUCCAUAAUUGGCUUAGAUCAUGAACACCCACAUUGGGAAGGAGUUAAUGAAGUACACUAAUCUCUGAUACAUGAACAAAACUGAGCUUCUGUUAGAAAGGAGGAAGGUGGAGAAUAUGACUGUUGGGUAGACAACCAAUAGGGUCAACCAAUGCCUGCAACAAUUACAGGGAAUGGCUGCCAGUUUGAAUGAAGCUAACACGAAGGAUGGCAGAGUGGUGAGAGAUAAAGAAUCUGGGUCUUUAAUGACAUAAUGAGCUGCUAAAUCAGACCAAACAAGAAGCCUGAGCAACUAUCUGUGGACCUCCUGUUAACGUGUUGAAGAACACCUGAGUGACCAGCACCCGGAGGAGAAACAGGACCUUAUCUAUGUCCCGAAGCCCCGCUGUGCCCUCUCCCGAUCACUAACCAUUAGAAGGAAAUUACUAUCCUACUUCUGAUGCCAUAAACUGAUUUUGCUUGUUUUUGAAUGUAACAUAAAUAGAAUCACACAGCAUGUA